rnacentral:rRNA from 1 species
CCUACGGGGGGCUGCAGUGGGGAAUAUUGGACAAUGGGGGCAACCCUGAUCCAGCCAUGCCGCGUGUGUGAAGAAGGCCCUCGGGUUGUAAAGCACUUUCAGUGAGGAAGAACGCCUGGUGGUUAAUACCCAUCAGGAAAGACAUCACUCACAGAAGAAGCACCGGCUAACUCCGUGCCAGCAGCCGCGGUAAUACGGAGGGUGCGAGCGUUAACCGGAAUUACUGGGCGUAAAGCGCGCGUAGGUGGCUUGAUAAGCCGGUUGUGAAAGCCCCGGGCUCAACCUGGGAACGGCAUCCGGAACUGUCAAGCUAGAGUGCAGGAGAGGAAGGUAGAAUUCCCGGUGUAGCGGUGAAAUGCGUAGAGAUCGGGAGGAAUACCAGUGGCGAAGGCGGCCUUCUGGACUGACACUGACACUGAGGUGCGAAAGCGUGGGUAGCAAACAGGAUUAGAUACCCCGGUAGUC